GCAGAAUCCACGGUUCCAUUUGUCUAUCUCUUCUAAUUUUUUGACACCCACUCCCUUCUGCCUGCAGGGUCCUGUGAAUGUUUUCAAGGCUUUCCCCUGAGAACCUGCCUGCCCCUGGUGAAUUCUCCAGCACAGGAUAUACUGUGUUACCCUGUGAGAGAUUUCCAGUUCCUUCCUUCUGGAAGCCUGGAGUUGCCUGCUCUGCACACCACUCCUGUGCUCUGAUGCUAUUUAACGAUGACAGUGACCUUGACACUGCAAAGCUCCUGGUGCUUCCAGUGCUUCCAGCCCUGCACUGAAUGCCCUCUCGGCAAUCACUGUGACUCACUGUUAUAUGAAGAAAGAGACACAGUGGAAUAAGACUUGCUUUAAAGGAUUGCAAGAGGUGUGAUUGGUUAGAUCCUGCGGUCUGCGUGUUAAUGUCUGUCACAGAAUCUGUGUGCUGGAAACUGAAGUCCAAUAUAGUCACAGUACUAAGCAGUACUGAGAGCCAUUGAACUGUACACUGAGCGCAUGCGGCUACAGCAACCAUAACUGCAACAUACGUAUAAGACUCCCUCUCCCAUCUUUGAAGAUACACUGAAUUAUUUCCAUUCUAUUCAAGUCAACCAGGACACUGUUUCAAACUGGAUCAUGACUCAUCAUAAGGUCAUAAAAAUCAAUUGAACUGAUUAUGACCAGCUCUCUAAUGGUUUACAUUGAUCGUCAACUUGAAAGGGUCUAGAGUCAUCUUGGAGACAAAUCGCUGGACUUGUCUGUAAGGGAAUUUUCUAGAUUGGACCAACUGAGGCAGGAAGAGCCACCAUGAAUGUAGAUGGCGCAAUCCCAUGGCUUGGGGUCUUGCACUAAAUUCAACAGUGGAAGCAAGUGAAGCAUCCAUAGCGAUCGCUCUUCACCUUCUGAGUGGGGACAAUCUGGAGCUGCCUCCCUCUCCACAUGCCAUGACUUCCAUGCCACAAUGGACCCUAAUAUUGUGAGCAAAAAAGUAAACCUUUUCUUCCUUAAGUGGCUGCUGUCAUAUGUUUUGUCAUAGCAAUGAGAAAAAAAAUAACAAAUACAGCAGCUUGAAAAAGAACACAACAGAACAGAAAGCGUCAGGCCAAGUGGGGCUUUGCUUGCAAUAGAGUUUGUGCAUGAAAACUUUAUUCUGAUGUGUGUAUGCAUUUACUAUGUACACAUAUUGUGUGAUAGUUUAAUACACAUUUCUUAUCAUGACUGGUAAACGUGUUUAAAAUAGCUAGUUAAAAUGUGAAGUCCACAAAGGUACAGUUCUAUCUGUCCACUCUUGCUUCUCUGGUAGCUGCUAACUGGCAUAUAUUGCCUGAAUAAAUAAAUGGC